rnacentral:tRNA from 1 species
AAAAUCCGUCGACUUUAAAAAUCUUGAGACUCCCAAUUAUGCUAUCCCCUUUUCCGUUAGCGGGUCAAAAUUUCUUUACGGAUUCUUUGACRRRCAGAUUUGGACAAAAUAAUAAUGACUUUUAUGCAUGGGAUAUGAUAUGGAAUGCACAUCCAAGUUCAGCAGGGAAUCCCAUYUGAACCAUUCACAUCACAGCAUUACUCAUACUGAGACUGGAAGUCUUUUGCAGAGCCAACAACGACAGUGUUGAGAAAAUUUGYC